UACGUAGGGCGCGAGCGUUGUCCGGAAUUAUUGGGCGUAAAGAGCUCGUAGGCGGCCUGUUGCGUCCGCUGUGAAAUCCCGGGGCUUAACCCCGGGCGUGCAGUGGAUACGGGCUGGCUGGAGGCAGGCAGGGGAGAACGGAAUUCCCGGUGUAGCGGUGAAAUGCGCAGAUAUCGGGAGGAACACCGGUGGCGAAGGCGGUUCUCUGGGCCUGUUCUGACGCUGAGGAGCGAAAGCGUGGGGAGCGAACAGG
rnacentral:rRNA from 1 species